UCCCUGGUGGUCCAGUGGUUAGGAUUCAGCACUCUUAAUGCCAAGGGCCCAGGUUCGAUCCCUGGCUGGGGAA